AGAAAAGAUUUGCUGAGAUACAUUACUCUAAAACUUUUAUGAAAAGCUAUCUUUCAAAUGAUUCCUCCACGUGAAAAUGCCCUCCACAUAAUAUACCAUGAGUCUCAGAGAGGCACAAGAGAUAGGGAUAUUGCAAAGAGGCUGCAAUAUCCUUCACGACAGGAUCUCAACUCCAAAUGGAAAAAGAGUGUUCUGCAACCUCCACAAUGUAAAAUGAAAGCUAAUGUAUGGGAAAUAAAGCCUCCUGAUUUUAGCUACAAACUGUAUACUUCUUUGAGAAUUCCAGAAAGACCAUCAAAACCAAUUAAGGAAGAAAAAAGGAGGAAAAAAAUCAGUUUUCCAGAAACAAUGCUUCACUUGCCCAGCAUAAGGAAUCAUCCUAAGGAGGUCACAGCUCCUAAAUUUAUAACUACAUUUCCACGUCUGGAUUUACAAAAAGCAAAGUUAAUGUUUGUGAAGAGUGGACAAUAUCCAAGGGGUGUAUAUGUCAAUCCCAAACCACAUGACUUUCGACAGUACCAACCUGGUUUACCAAACUUUGAGACAACUUAUGAAAAGGACCCCUUUGGAUUAAAAUUUAAAUCACAACACUUAAGUACAGUACAUGGGUACCAGUUACCGAAAGAUAAUAAACAGAAGAAUACUACAGAAAGAUUUAUCACCCACAAGCAUCGUGAAUGCACCUGGGAUUCAAAACUAAUUUUGACGAAAGCCCCAUGGCCUGUUAGAUCUGCUUCAUAUACAAGACAUAGAAGGCAGCGUGAUGCAUACAGUGCAUUUAUGGAUCGUGUGGAAGAAAAGUUUACAAAGAUAUGCAAGAGCAGGUGGGUAAAAAAAUUAGGAUUUGUUGUUAGAUACUUAUAUUAACUCUUUAACAUUACUAC
rnacentral:lncRNA from 1 species